GUCUGCUCUGUGCAGAAGAGGCCUCAGCAAGCCGGAGACUGAAGAUGGGGUUUAAGCCCUGGGUGGGCAGCAGGGAAUGAGACAGUAUGUGAACUCCAAACUAAAGAUGGAUUCCAGAGCUUCUCUGUCAGGCUUCCAACCCUUCGUAAAAGCUUCACUCUGCGAGGGAAUUUGGCCUGCUAUCACAGGUCAACAUCGAACCUAACCACUGAAUGUGACCCAGCUCUCGUCCAA